AUUGAACGCUGGCGGCAGGCCUAACACAUGCAAGUCGAACGAGUGGCGGACGGGUGAGUAAUGUCUGGGAAACUGCCCGAUGGAGGGGGAUAACUACUGGAAACGGUAGCUAAUACCGCAUACCAUCGGAUGUGCCCAGAUGGGAUUAGCGAGUCGGUGGGGUAACGGCGCACCUAGGCGACGAUCCCUAGCUGGUCUGAGAGGAUGACCAGCAAAACUGGAACGGAGACAAGGUCCAGAUUCCUACGGGAGGCAGCAGUGGGGAAUAUUGCACAAUGGGCGAAAGCCUGAUGAAGCCAUGCCGCGUGUAUGAAGAAGGCCUUCGGGUUGGAAAGUACUUUAAGCGAGGAGGCGUUACUCGCAGAAGAAGCACCGGCUAACUCCGUGCCAGCAGCCGCGGUAAUUC
rnacentral:rRNA from 1 species